rnacentral:rRNA from 1 species
GUGAACGCUGGCGGUAGGCCUAACACAUGCCAGUCGCACGGCAGCACAGUAAGAGCUUGCUCUUACGGGUGGCGAGUGGCGGACGGGUGAGGAAUACAUCGGAAUCUACUUUUUCGUGGGGGAUAACGUAGGGAAACUUACGCUAAUACCGCAUACGACCUACGGGUGAAAGCAGGGGAUCUUCGGACCUUGCGCGAUUGAAUGAGCCGAUGUCGGAUUAGCUCGUUGGCGGGGUAAAGGCCCACCAAGGCGACGAUCCGUAGCUGGUCUGAGAGGAUGAUCAGCCACACUGGAACUGAGACACGGUCCAGACUCCUACGGGAGGCAGCAGUGGGGAAUAUUGGACAAUGGGCGCAAGCCUGAUCCAGCCAUACCGCGUGGGUGAAGAAGGCCUUCGGGUUGUAAAGCCCUUUUGUUGGGAAAGAAAAGCAGCAGGUUAAUACCCCGCUGUUCCGACGGUACCCAAAGAAUAAGCACCGGCUAACUUCGUG